UACGUAGGUGGCGAGCGUUAUCCGGAAUUACUGGGUGUAAAGGGCGUGUAGGCGGGGAUGCAAGUCAGAUGUGAAAUACAACGGCUCAACCGUAGUGCUGCAUCUGAAACUGUGUCUCUUGAGUGAUGGAGAGGAAAGCGGAAUUCCUAGUGUAGCGGUGAAAUGCGUAGAUAUUAGGAGGAACACCAGUGGCGAAGGCGGCUUUCUGGACAUUAACUGACGCUGAGGCGCGAAAGCGUGGGGAGCAAACAGG
rnacentral:rRNA from 1 species